UUGAGAAUGCACUAUUAUCUAGGCUAUAAUGGCAUGAUGCAGUUCGAUGCUGUUUGACUACACGUUGGGCUGCAUGCUGUAGCCAUGUGCCCAUCAAUACAAUGAUGGGGAGAAGUUUUAGAACGAAGGGAGAAAAGUGCAUCUCUUGCUCGCCCUCAGUAGAUUUUGUGACUGUACCGACGGCAAAAAGUGCAAGUCGUCUUGACGGAGGAAGGGGGAGAAGGGGGUGGGGAAGUGGCAAACGUACGCAUCAAUUCGUACAGUCUUCAGCGGCACCCCGUUUUUUCCUGCAACGAUUUGGGAAGGAGAGAGAAAAUUCUGCAUUAUUUGCGGAACCGUUGCAAUAUGAUCCAGCAGCCUCUGUUUAUAGGUGCGCGUGCUGCCCCUAUGUGUGCAUGUCAACGUACAGUAUAAACCGAGAGAGACGGUUAAAGAAAGGGAGAGUGAAAGGGAACACGCAUCGCUGGAUAUCAGGUUGUAGAAGCUCAGAUGGUGGUGAGGUGAUUUUCAG